GAUUGCUUUGGGGAAAUACACUUCUCCCCUCAAACCUCCCGCACACUUUAUUUCUUCUUUUUUCUUAUUUUUCUCUUUUUCUUUCCUCUUUCUUUCUUUCUUCUUCUUUCUUUUGUUUUCCUUCUUCUUCCUAUUUCUCGGUUUCGCCCAACCAAAGAGAUGAAAAGAGAGAGUGAGAGGUUGAGAUGAGAGGAGAGACCCGAGUAGGACCUGAUACUUCUAGAGGUCCGGUCGGCAGCGGGUCAAUGGUGGUUGACGCCGGCGAAGUUGAAAGUUUGAAUUCCGGUGGUUUGGAGAUGCGAAAUUCGGCGAAACUUCCGGUGGUUCUCGGGCUCUGUUUUAUUAGGAUAGUGUUUGGAUUGAAGACUUCAAUUGGUUUUCCAAUGUAGAGUUCGAGUCAAGAGUCCAAUGCAGCUAAGAUGAUGUUCCUUUGGCUGCAGGGACUUCGGUAUAGUUGAUGGGUUGGUAGCAGUGUACUUGGGAUAUUAUGACUGAAGCUUGCUGCGACGGUUGUAAUUGUCGGACCAUAGGUUGUCCACUAUUUUAUAGGUUUGGUAUGGCUUGUGACGCUUGUGUCACUUAUUCUUUGUUAUUCAAUUAUUGUUAUGAAAUUAUUGUGUUAAUAAGACUCAAACAAAUAGAUGUUAAAUGACUCUUUAUUGUAAUUAAUUUGUGAUAGAUGUAUAAGUUGUAAUUUCUGCUAUUUAGGUUUAUAUUUUCCGCUGCAUAGUUAAAUAGAUGUUACUCUGAUUAUCAGGUGCAUGUUAUGGGGCAUGUG